UAAUGGGUCCUCCAAUUUCUAA
rnacentral:misc_RNA from 1 species